rnacentral:lncRNA from 1 species
AAGCCAAAGAUCAUGAAAGGCAGGUGACCAUACAGGGCUCUACGGAUUCAGGCUUCCCUGGAUUCCUGUCCAGGCCAGAGCCAGGUGGACUGAGGAUGCCUGCAUUAUUUCUGAGCCUCAGCGUUCCAGUCCUCAGUGCCAACUCUUAGCAACUGUGGGACCUUGCACAAGAACUCAACCUCCCUGUGCCUCUGUGUUAUUCCAUUCUAUUCUAGUCUAACUCCAUGAGGUUUUUGGAAAACUUCGAAAGACCUAACUCAGACCAUAUGCCGCUUCUGUACACAACCCUCCACGGCUCCUAGCAUCCUAAGAAUUGAGGGAAAACUCCUCACCUUGGCACUCCAGGAGCCGUUCCUGCGUUUUCUGACGCCCUCUCCACCGCCCCUCGGCUGAGAACUGGGUCCAGAUGAGCCUUGGACCCCGUUGAAGACGUCUCCUACCUCAUCUCCCACACCUGCUGGGACCAUCUCCAACCGCCCUCAGGGCAGUAGGGAGUUAUUUUGCAGGCACAGAGCUAAAGAGUUGCAAGUUACACAGCUAGAGAAUGUGCAGAAAAGAAAAUGUCAGGCCCAGCGCGGUGGCUCACACCUGUAAUCCAAGCACAUUGGGAGGCUG